rnacentral:rRNA from 1 species
CAAGUCGAGCGGUAAGGCUUUCACAGAUUAUUUAAACGGUUAAGUCCUUUUCGGGAUACUAUCCGACAACACAUCUCACUAGGCUAGUGGAUAUGGUUGAAUAAUGUGUGAAAGUACACGAGCGGCGGACGGCUGAGUAACGCGUAGGAACGUACCCCAAAGUGAGGGAUAAGCACCGGAAACGGUGUCUAAUACCGCAUGUGGUCUAAGGAUUAAAGCCUUCGGGCGCUUUGGGAGCGGCCUGCGUAUGAUUAGUUUGUUGGUGAGGUAAUGGCUCACCAAGACUACGAUCAUUAGCUGGUCUGAGAGGAUGAUCAGCCAGACUGGGACUGAGACACGGCCCAGACUCCUACGGGAGGCAGCAGUAGGGAAUUUUCCACAAUGGACGAAAGUCUGAUGGAGCAACGCCGCGUGCAGGAUGAAGGCCUUCGGGUCGUAAACUGCUUUUAUGAGUGAUGAUUAAGACAGUAGCUCAAGAAUAAGGGUCGGCUAACUACGUGCCAGCAGCCGCGGUCAUACGUAGGACCCAAGCGUUAUCCGGAAUUACUGGGCGUAAAGAGUUGCGUAGGCGGCUUGUUAAGCAAGGUGUGAAAUCGUACGGCUCAACCGUAUACACAUGCUUUGAACUGGCAAGCUAGAGAGUGAGAGAGGUUAUUGGAAUUCCAAGUGUAGGAGUGAAAUCCGUAGAUAUUUGGAGGAACACCGAUGGCGUAGGCAGAUAACUGGCUCACUUCUGACGCUCAGGCACGAAAGCGUGGGGAGCAAACGGGAUUAGAUACCCCGGUAGUCCACGCCCUAAACUAUGGAUGCUAGCUGUAUGUCGAAUCGACCCGAUAUGUAGCGAAGCUAACGCGUUAAGCAUCCCGCCUGUGGAGUACGGUCGCAAGACUAAAACAUAAAGGAAUUGACGG